UGGGGAAUUUUGGACAAUGGGGGAAACCCUGAUCCAGCCAUCCCGCGUGUGCGAUGAAGGCCUUCGGGUUGUAAAGCACUUUUGGCAGGAAAGAAACGUCAUGGGUUAAUACCCCGUGAAACUGACGGUACCUGCAGAAUAAGCACCGGCUAACUACGCGCCAGCAGCCGCGGUAAUACGUAGGGUGCAAGCGUUAAUCGGAAUUACUGGGCGUAAAGCGUGCGCAGGCGGUUCGGAAAGAAAGAUGUGAAAUCCCAGAGCUCAACUUUGGAACUGCAUUUUUAACUACCGGGCUAGAGUGUGUCAGAGGGAGGUGGAAUUCCGCGUGUAGCAGUGAAAUGCGUAGAUAUGCGGAGGAACACCGAUGGCGAAGGCAGCCUCCUGGGAUAACACUGACGCUCAUGCACGAAAGCGUGGGGAGCAAACAGG
rnacentral:rRNA from 1 species